rnacentral:rRNA from 1 species
UACGCAGGGCGCAAGCGUUGUCCGGAAUUAUUGGGCGUAAAGAGCUCGUAGACGGUUUCGUAAGUCGGAUGUGAAAACUCAGGGCUCAACCCGGAGACGCCAUCUGAUACUGCGAUGACUUGAGUCUGGUAGGGGAACACGGAAUUCCUGGUGUAGCGGUGAAAUGCGCAGAUAUCAGGAGGAACACCGAUGGCGAAGGCAGUGUUCUGGGCCAGUACUGACGCUGAGGAGCGAAAGCGUGGGGAGCAAACAGG